rnacentral:rRNA from 1 species
UACGAAGGGGGCUAGCGUUGUUCGGAAUUACUGGGCGUAAAGCGUGCGCAGGCGGCCAUCCAAGUCAGUGGUGAAAGCCCGGAGCUCAACUCCGGAAUUGCCAUUGAAACUGUUUGGCUCGAGUACGAGAGAGGUGAGUGGAAUUCCCAGUGUAGAGGUGAAAUUCGUAGAUAUUGGGAAGAGCACCGGUGGCGAAGGCGGCUCACUGGCUCGUAACUGACGCUCAUGCACGACAGCGUGGGGAUCAAACAGG